rnacentral:rRNA from 1 species
GUGUUGAGUGUACCUUUCGAAUAAGCACCGGCUAACUACGUGCCAGCAGCCGCGGUAAUACGUAGGGUGCAAGCGUUAUCCGGAAUUAUUGGGCGUAAAGGGCUCGUAGGCGGUUCGUCGCGUCCGGUGUGAAAGUCCAUCGCUUAACGGUGGAUCCGCGCCGGGUACGGGCGGGCUUGAGUGCGGUAGGGGAGACUGGAAUUCCCGGUGUAACGGUGGAAUGUGUAGAUAUCGGGAAGAACACCAAUGGCGAAGGCAGGUCUCUGGGCCGUUACUGACGCUGAGGAGCGAAAGCGUGGGGAGCGAACAGGAUUAGAUACCCUGGUAGUCCACGCCGUAAACGGUGGAUGCUGGAUGUGGGGCCCGUUCCACGGGUUCCGUGUCGGAGCUAACGCGUUAAGCAUCCCGCCUGGGGAGUACG